UGAUCAUCCUUUGACAACUCUAGAGAUAGAGCCUUCCCCUUCGGGGGACAAAGUGACAGGUGGUGCAUGGUAGUCGUCAGCUCGUGUCGUGAGAUGUUGGGUUAAGUCCCGCAACGAGCGCAACCCUUAAGCUUAGUUGCCAUCAUUAAGUUGGGCACUCUAAGUUGACUGCCGGUGACAAACCGGAGGAAGGUGGGGAUGACGUCAAAUCAUCAUGCCCCUUAUGAUUUGGGCUACACACGUGCUACAAUGGACAAUACAAAGGGCAGCGAAACCGCGAGGUCAAGCAAAUCCCAUAAAGUUGUUCUCAGUUCGGAUUGUAGUCUGCAACUCGACUACAUGAAGCUGGAAUCGCUAGUAAUCGUAGAUCAGCAUGCUACAAGGGAAUACGUUCCCGGGUCUUGUACACAC
rnacentral:rRNA from 1 species